rnacentral:tRNA from 1 species
CUCAUGAAGCUCAAUUGGUUGAGCGGAAUAUUGAAGUUAUUUUGGUUGUAAGUUCGAGUCUUACCUUGGGCAA